rnacentral:rRNA from 1 species
UACGGAGGGGGCUAGCGUUGUUCGGAAUUACUGGGCGUAAAGCGCACGUAGGCGGCGACUCAAGUCAGAGGUGAAAGCCCGGGGCUCAACCCCGGAACUGCCUUUGAAACUAGGUUGCUAGAAUCUUGGAGAGGUCAGUGGAAUUCCGAGUGUAGAGGUGAAAUUCGUAGAUAUUCGGAGGAACACCAGUGGCGAAGGCGGCUCACUGGUCCGGUACUGACGCUGAGGUGCGAAAGCGUGGGGAGCAAACAGG